AACUUUCGGCAAUGGAUCACUUGGCUCUCGCAUCGAUGAAGAACCCAGCGAAAUGCGAUAAGUAAUGUGAAUUGCAGAAUUCAGUGAAUCAUCGAAUCUUUUAACGCACCUUGCGUUCCUUGGAAUUCCAAGAAGCAUGCCUGUUUGAGUGUCAUUUAAAUCCUCAACCCCAAUGGAUUCUUUCCUGUUGGGGCUGGGAUGUGGGGGUUUUCUCUUGCUGGCUUCUUUAUCGAGGUCAGCUCCCCUUAAAUGCAUUAGCUGGUGCCCCGUGUGGACUGUCUAUUGGUGUGAUAAUUAUCUACGCCGUGGAUGUCUGCAAUCAUAUGGGUUUUGCACUGCUUCUAACUGUCUGUUCAUUCGGACAAUAUAUGACAAUUUGACCUCAAAUCAGGUAGGACUACCCGCUGAACUUAAGCAUAUCAAUAAGCGGAGGCU
rnacentral:misc_RNA from 1 species